rnacentral:snRNA from 1 species
AGGGUGAUCUGGCUGCGACAUCUGUCACCCCACUAAUCGCCAGGGUUGCUUCGGCUGAUCUGGCUGGCUAGGCGGGUGUCCCCUUCCUCCUU